AAGUCGUAACAAGGUUUCCGUAGGUGAACCUGCGGAAGGAUCAUUACCUAGAGUUGUAGGCUUUGCCUGCUAUCUCUUACCCAUGUCUUUUGAGUAUCUUCUGAGUGGCGAAAGCAAAAAAUGAAUCAAAACUUUCAACAACGGAUCUCUUGGUUCUG
rnacentral:misc_RNA from 1 species